AUUGAACGCUGGCGGCAGGCCUAACACAUGCAAGUCGAGCGGAUGACGGGAGCUUGCUCCUGGAUUCAGCGGCGGACGGGUGAGUAAUGCCUAGGAAUCUGCCUGGUAGUGGGGGACAACGUUUCGAAAGGAACGCUAAUACCGCAUACGUCCUACGGGAGAAAGCAGGGGACCUUCGGGCCUUGCGCUAUCAGAUGAGCCUAGGUCGGAUUAGCUAGUUGGUGAGGUAAUGGCUCACCAAGGCGACGAUCCGUAACUGGUCUGAGAGGAUGAUCAGUCACACUGGAACAGAGACACGGUCCAGACUCCGACGGGAGGCAGCAGUGGGGAAUAUUGGACAAUGGGCGAAAGCCUGAUCCAGCCAUGCCGCGUGUGUGAAGAAGGUCUUCGGAUUGUAAAGCACUUUAAGUUGGGAGGAAGGGCAGUAAGCGAAUACCUUGCUGUUUUGACGUUACCGACAGAAUAAGCACCGGCUAACUCUGUGCCAGCCGCCGCCGUAAGAC
rnacentral:rRNA from 1 species